rnacentral:rRNA from 1 species
CAGCAGCCGCGGUAAUGCGUAGGUGGCAAGCGUUGUCCGGAUUUAUUGGGCGUAAAGCGAGCGCAGGCGGUCAAUUAAGUCUGAUGUGAAAGCCCCCGGCUCAACCGGGGAGGGUCAUUGGAAACUGGUUGACUUGAGUGCAGAAGAGGAGAGUGGUAUUCCAUGUGUAGCGGUGAAAUGCGUAGAUAUAUGGAGGAACACCAGUGGCGAAGGCGACUCUCUGGUCUGUAACUGACGCUGAGGCUCGAAAGCGUGGGUAGCAAACAGGAUUAGAUACCCCAGUAGUCCCUGUCUCUUAUAC